AUAUAGGGCAAGCUGUCUUUACAUAAGGAUAAAUUACUCUAAAUAAAUCCUAGAUAGUUUUCCCUUCAAGUCAAGCUUUUCUU
rnacentral:pre_miRNA from 1 species